GUGCGUGUGAAAGUUAAAUAUUAUAGAAGAACACCACGAUUGGGAUGAUUGUAGUGAUAAUUUAUUAAUGGACCGAGGAUGUAAUUCGUAUUCGAAGAAAUCAAGAGGAAGAUAAGUAACAUUGAUAGAAGAUUGCUGCAAACUAGUCUUAUAUAGGAACGAUCACAAAAUACAGACUCGAUUUUUUAUUAUUCAAAAAAUAAUAUUCAAAUUUCACGGGUGUAAUAUUAUCUCAGCG